CUGUCCUACAACAAUGGGGCUGGCACAGGUGUUCAGUGGAACCAAGGAAGCUUCUAGACACAUCCUGAGCAUGUGGCUUUGGAGUGUCACAUAUCCUAUUCACGCUAACAAUAAGAUUAGUAGCCAUAAUACAAUAAAUCCCUGUUAUUGACUUUUCAAAUAAAGAAGAACGCUGCCUAAGAGGAAAAUCAAACAGAAUUACAGAGGACUGCUGUUUUCCCCCACUUCCUUUCAAGGCAUCUAUAAAGAUAAAGAGCAGCGAUGAUCAGUUUAAAACAGAGCGCUCUGCCACGUCACUGGUUUGCAUAGUAGCCCCACCUGGAGAAUACACAUUUUCUGUAAAGAAAGAUGGAUAUACAGAGACAAGGAAAAACAAGGCCUCCAUCCCUUCCAAGCACAUGGUUGAUUAAGACAAAGAAGUCCAUAAACAGAAAGAGAAGACAGAGACCUGGAAGAAGACCUGAGGAAUUAACAGGCAAGGAUUAAGACUGGAAGGCCACAAGAGGCCCAGGAGGAAGAACACAUAUGGGAAUGUAUAAUGGGGAGCACAGAAUGAGGACAAAGAAUAUGGGAUAUAAAGGGUCAAGUCUCUCCCCAAAACUCACAAAACAAAUGAAGGAAACUGCAAACUUACGACUCAGAAAUACAGGGUAAUAAGCAAUCACUAACAUAAAUAUAAGCAUUUUAUCCCGUAAAUACUUUAUUUCUUGUCCUACUCCCAGAAUAAAUUCAUGACUAAAUAAAAUUAUACAGCAAAA